rnacentral:rRNA from 1 species
GACGAACGCUGGCGGCGUGCCUAAUACAUGCAAGUCGAACGCAGUGGGGACGGGUGAGUAACACGUGGGUAACCUCCCAUCAGAGGGGAUAACACUUGGAAACAGGUGCUAAACCGAUACUGAUGGAUGGACCCGCGGUGCAUUAGCUAGUUGGUGAGGUAACGGCUCACCAAGGCCACGAGGCAUAGCGAGACUGAGAGGUGGAUCGGCCACACUGGGACUGAGAACCGGCCCAGACUCCUACGGGAGGCAGCAGUAGGGAAGCUUCGGCAAUGGACGAAAGUCUGACCGAGAAACGCCGCGUGAGUGAAGAAGGUUUUCGGAUAGUAAAACUCUGUGGUUAGAGAAGCGGUAUAUAACCAGAAAGCCACGGCUAACUACGUGCCAGCAGCCGCGGUAAUUC